AAAUAGUACUUAAAAAAUUGAAGGAAAAAGAAUUAAAGAGAGACACUCCCCACCCGUUUUCUGCCCUACUCUUCUUCCUCGUCAGACUACAGAGAGCUUCUUCAUUUUCUUGAGCUUUCUCCAAGGAUUCUUGAUUAUAAACUUUAAACCCAAUAUAUACAUACAUGAUCAUUACAAUAAGCUUUUGGUGUUUCUGGAUGAGAAAUCUGAGUUGAAAAAGGCAUGCUCUUUAACAUUUCCACUACCAAACACUUCACCUCAAAGUUAAUCCCAUGUAAGUCUUUCUCUAAAUUCACCGUUACCCAUUUCUUUUCAGCACUUUCUAACCCCUUCUGUGGACCUGAAAUGGAAAUACCCAUUUCUGAUAACUGCUUUAAUUCUUGUAAAACUGAAGUAGAAGUUACCCCUUUUGAUAAAGUUGCAUCAAAACCCAACUUGGGUUUUCUUGAAACUGAAAUGGAAGGACCUGUUUCAGAUAAGUUGUUUGAAGAAACCUCAAAGUUGGGUUCUUUUGAAACUGAAAUGGAAGUACGAAUUGCAGAUAAGUUAUUUAAAGAAACACCAAAGUUGGGUUCUCUUGAAACUGAUAUGAAAGUACCUGUGUCAGACAAUUUUUUUAAAGAGCCUCCAAAGUUGGGUUCUUUUGAAACAGAAGUGGAAGUACCUGUUUCAGAUAAGUUGUUUGAGGAGGCACCAAAGUUGGGUUCUUUUGAAAUUGAAAUGGAAGUACCAAUUUCAGACAGUUUGUUUAAAGAACCUCCAAAGUUGGGUUCUUUUGAAACAGAAGUGGAAGUACCAGUUUCAGAUAAGUUGUUUAAGGAGGCACCAAAGUUGGGUUCUUUUGAAAAUGAAGUGGAAGUACCAAUUUCAGACAAGUUAUUCAAAGAGGCACCAAAGUUGGGUUCUUUUAAAUUGGGUGAUUCUACAUUUUAUUCUCUUAUUGAGAAGUAUGCUAAUUCUGGGGAUUUCAGGUCUGUAGAGAUGGUUUUUGAUAGAAUGAAAUUUGAAAAAAGAGUCUUUAUUGAGAAGAGUUUUAUUGUAGUGUUUAGAGCUUAUGGAAAGGCUCGAUUGCCUGAAAAAGCUGUUGAAUUGUUUGAAAGAAUGGUGGAUGAGUUUAAAUGUAAACAAACUGUGAAGUCAUUUAAUUCUGUUUUUAAUGUGAUAGUUCAGACGGGGUUAUAUCGUCGUGCAUUGGAUUUUUAUGCAGAUGUUGUGAAUAAUAAUAGGAAUAUUAUGCCAAAUGUGCUUUCUUUUAAUUUAGUUAUUAAGACCUUGUGUAAGCUUCGGAGGGUUGAUAGAGCUAUGGAGGUGUUCAGAGAAAUGGGCACUUGGAAAUGUGAACCGGAUGUUUAUACGUACUGUACUUUGAUGGAUGGGUUGUGUAAGGUUGACCGGAUUGACGAGGCAGUUAUUCUUUUGGAUGAAAUGCAGAUAGAGGGAUGUUUUCCUGUUCCAGUAACAUUUAAUGUGUUGAUUAAUGGGCUUUGUCGGAAAGGUGACUUGGCUCGAGCUGCUAAGCUUGUGGAUAACAUGUUUCUUAAAGGGUGUGUUCCGAAUGAAGUGACAUAUAACACACUUAUACAUGGGUUAUGCCUGAAAGGUAAAUUGGAGAAAGCUGUUAAUUUAUUGGGUAGAAUGGUGUCAGAUAAGUAUGUACCAACUGAUGUAACCUAUGGAACGAUUAUCAAUGGGUUUGUUAAGCAAGGAAGAGCAACUGAUGGUGUGCAGAUCUUGUUGGCAAUGCAGGAGAAAGGGCAUCUGGCAAAUGAAUAUGUCUACUCAGCACUAGUUAGUGGGUUGUUCAAGGAGGGAAAACCUGAAGAGGCGGUAAAAAUAUGGAAGGAAAUGAUAGAAAAGGGAGUGAAGCCUAAUACAGUUACUUAUUCCGCUUUUAUAGAUGGCUUGUGUCGGGAAGGCAGACCAGACGUAGCUAAGGAGAUCCUUUCUGAGAUGAUUAAAAUGGGUUGCAGUCCCAAUGCUUUUACUUACUGCUCUCUGAUGAAAUGUUAUUUUAAAACCGGUGAUAGCAACAAGGCUAUACUUCUAUGGAAAGAAACCGGUGGUAUCACGUGCAAUGAAAUCUGCUACAGUGUACUCAUCCAUGGACUGUGUCAAGAUGGGAAGCUCAAAGAGGCUAUGAUGGUAUGGAAGCACAUGUUAGGCAAAGGAUUGGUCCCUGAUGCCGUGGCUUAUAGUUCAAUGAUUCACGGCCUUUGCAAUGCUGGGUCUGUGGACCAGGGAUUGAGACUCUUCAAUGAGAUGCUAUGUAGAGGAUCUGAUUUUCAGCCUGACGUAAUAGCAUUUAAUAUAAUUCUUAAUGCUUUAUGCAAGGCGGAUAGAAUUUCUCUAGCAGUUAAUCUAUUGAAUACGAUGUUGGAUCAAGGUUGUGAUCCUGACACAAUUACAUGUAAUAUUUUCUUGAAAACCUUAAAUGAAAAAGAAAAUCCAUCCCAAGAUGCAGAAGAUUUUCUGGAUAAGCUUGUGCUUCAACUGUACAGGCGGCAGAGAAUUGUAGGAGCUUCAACAAUUAUAGAAGUGAUGCUUCAAAAAUUUCUUUAUCCCAAGUCGUCUACUUGGGAAAUGAUUAUUCGAGAACUUUGCAAGCCAAAGAAGGUUCAAGGAGCUAUUAACAAGUGUUGGAGUGACCUUUUCAUCCGACAUUAGAGAUAAGUGGCACUCAGAAAUGUGGCCUGAAUUGGUAUUGAUGCUUUCUAAGAAGCAUUGCACAGGUUUUAGAAAAGUUCAAGAUAAUUUGAAAACGGUACAAACUCUACUGGUUCAUUGAAGAUUAAGUGUGAUGGAGCUCAAGUCCCAGAUUUCAUUGUAGGUAUAAAAAAAAACUUAUGCCUUGGGUUUUUCUAUGUCGUCUUCUGAGAUCUUAGAAGACGUUGGCUUCUUUGGUUGAUGAGCUAUGUCAUAAGUUGCAUGGAGGCCAAAAAUAACAUAAUAUAUCAGCAUUACAACUGUGCAUAUGCCAAAUCUUAUAAAUGCCUGAGCUCCUAAUGAUCCCAUGAGAAACAAGUUUAUUGCAACUGAGAGGGAUGGUAACCAUGGAACCAGUGGGACUCCCCAGACUUUUGGUAUUCUUUCCUGUGGCAAAAGAACCGAAAUUGCCAAAGUUGCCAGGAACCAAAGGGGAACAGUUACUGUGUAACCAAGCCAACCAUUAGGGUCCAGUCCCCAGUAAGCAGAAGUCCCAACGGAGGAUACAAUUAUGACCAGUACUAAGAAAGUUAGCUUCAAAAGAUUAUUCCGGGGGGUGAUACCUCUGACAUAGUAUCUCCUCACAAGCAGAGCAACAGCCAUCAUCGUGGAUGUAAGAAGGCUGCUUACAGAUAACAAACUUGACAAGACAUCCAGACUUGAAAAUAACGCUAUACAGGCACUUGCAAGUCUGAUCAAGAGAGUUGCAUUUAUGGGAGUUCCUGUCUUGGGGUGAACAAGUGCAAACCAUGGUGGAAUCAUGUGAACUCGUGCAAUAUGAGUGGCAUAGCGAGCCUGUCCAAUUGCUCCUGCCAAAAGGACAGUGGUCAUCCCCUUCAGAGCUCCAAGGGCAACCAGGUAUUUUGCCCAUUUCAUCCCCACGCGUUGAAAUGCAACAGCAUAGGCGGCGUUAGGGUCUAUAUCUGUAUACUUUUGCAUCAUACUCAGUGAAAGUGCCAUCAAGCAAUAUAUCAGGGUGAUAAUUGACAUUGAUCCUAGCAAUCCUAGUGGUAUAUCUUUGGAUGGAUUUUUUGCUUCCUCUGCCAUGGUUGCGAUGUUGUCAAAACCUCCAUAUGCAAAAUACACUAUUGCUGCUGCAACGAAGAUACCUUUGGCACCAUGUGGCAUAAAGGGUGUCAAAUUGGAGGUAUUGGCAUGAACAAAUCCAGCAACUAUGACAAAUAAAAUCACCACCAUAUUUACUGCUGAUGCAAUCCAGUUGAAGUAUGAAGUUCUUCUAGUGCCGCUUAUUGCAAUUAUUGAUGUAAUCACUAGAACUGCAACAGCUAUUGGAUCUAGUAAGUUGAACCCGUCUGUGAGAUUUGUAUGUAUACGUAAGGAGUUUGGAUGACGAUUCAAGAGAGCUGUAAAGUAAGAAGUCCAGGCUCUUGCUACCACCGCUCCACCAGCAAUGGAUCCAAGAAUUAUGUUUCCUGCUGUUAUAAAGGCUGCAAAGUCUCCCAGUUCUACUCUGAUGUAUGCAAAUGACCCUCCUGCUACAGGAAUUUCUACUGCAAAUUCUGUGUAGCAGAAGACAGAGAGCAUUGCUGAAAUGCCAGAAGCCACAUAGGAUAAAACAAUAGCUGGUCCGGCAUGCUCGUGAGCUUCUUGGCCAGUGAGUACGAAGAUACCUGCUCCAAUAACGGAGCCAAAGCCAAACCAGGUGAGAUCCCACCAACUAAGGCAACGUUUCAUCUCAUUCUCACUCUGUUUCUUUAGCUCCUCAAUCUCAUCAGCGUCCUCAGAACAGCUUGCAACUCGGUCCUUCAAUCUGGUAACUGUGUGUGACAGUGCUAAUCGAUAUGCGCUCCAAUUCUGAAAAGAAUCUUCUGGGAAGAAAUCUUGUUUGCUCCAUCUCCAGUAACUUCUUGGUUGUAUCUCAUCUCCCAUUUCACCAGCAGAGUCCAUUACUGUUAUUUUAUGCCUUUCAGGACUCAUUAUACUGUUACUAAAGGCUAGUAACUACUAGCUCAUUUGGGAUGUCCGUUGACCUCUACUGCUUAUAGGUUCAUUUUCUUGAUGGAGGAUUCCCAUGUCUUCAAUUAUUGUUGUUGAUAAGGUCGCCAAUGAGCCAAAUGUUGCUAACUUUAAACAAGCCGUUUUUUUGUUUUAUGCCGUAUGGUCUAUAGGAUAAAAAAGGAGCCAAUGGAAAAUUGGGCAUGUCAUUUAUGGAUAGGUACAGUUGAGUGUCAUAAUGUGCAUCUUUAUUGAAAUUAUCAACAAUCCAUUUUC